CCUACGGGUGGCAGCAGUGGGGAAUAUUGCACAAUGGGCGAAAGCCUGAUGCAGCAACGCCGCGUGAGUGAUGAAGGCCUUCGGGUCGUAAAGCCCUGUCCUCAAGGAAGAUAAUGACGGUGCUUGUGGAGGAAGCCCCGGCUAACUACGUGCCAGCAGCCGCGGUAAUACGUAGGGGGCCAGCGUUAUCCGGAAUUACUGUGCGUAAAGGGGUAGUGGGUGGUUUCUUAAGUCAGAGGUGAAAGGCUACGGCUCAACCGUAGUAAGCCUUUGAAACUGGGGAACUUGAGUGCAGGAGAGGGGAGUGGAAUUCCUGGUGUAGCGGUGAAAUGCGUAGAUAUUAGGAGGAACACCAGUUGCGAAGGCGGCUCUCUGGACUGUAACUGACACUGAGGCACGAAGGCGUGGGGAGCAAACAGGAUUAGAUACCCCGGUAGUC
rnacentral:rRNA from 1 species